GACGAACGCUGGCGGCGUGCUUAACACAUGCAAGUCGAACGGAAAGGCCCUGCGUUUGUUGGGUGCUCGAGUGGCGAACGGGUGAGUAACACGUGAGUAACCUGCCCUUGACUGUGGGAUAACUUCAGGAAACUGGGGCUAAUAUCGGAUAUGAGCUCCUGCUGCAUGUUGGGGGUUGGAAAGUUUCGGCGGUUGGGGAUGGACUCGCGGCUUAUCAGCUUGAUGGUGGAGUAGUUGCUUACCACGGCUUUGACGGGUAGCCGGCCUGAGAGGGUGAACGGGCACAUUGGGACUGAGAUACGGACCAGAAUGCUACGGGAGGCAGCAGUGGGGAAUAUUGCACAAUGGGCGGAAGCGUGAUGCAGAAACGCCGCGUGCGGGAUGACGGCCUUCGGGUUGUAAACCGCUUUCGCCUGUGACGAAGCGUGAGUGACGGUAAUGGGUAAAGAAGCACCGGCUAACUACGUG
rnacentral:rRNA from 1 species